CCUACGGGUGGCAGCAGUGAGGAAUAUUGCACAAUGGACGAGAGUCUGAACCAGCCACGCCGCGUGAAGGAUGACUGCUCUAUGGGUUGUAAACUCCUUUUAUAUGGGAAUAAAAUGUUCCACGUGUGGGAUUUUGUAUGUACCAUAUGAAUAAGGAUCGGCUAACUCCGUGCCAGCAGCCGCGGUAAUACGGAGGAUCCGAGCGUUAUCCGGAUUUAGUGGGUUUAAAGGGAGCGUAGGUGGAUUGUUAAGUCAGUUGUGAAAGUUUGGGGCUCAACCGUAAAAUUGCAGUUGAAACUGGCAGGCUUGAGUACAGUAGAGGUAGGCGGAAUUCGUGGUGUAGCGGUGAAAUGCGUAGAUAUCACGAAGAACACCGAUUGCGAAGGCAGUUCACUGGACUGCAACUGACACUGAGGCUCGAAAGUGUGGGUAUCAAACAGGAUUAGAUACCCCUGUAGUC
rnacentral:rRNA from 1 species